GAGGGUAUAGCUCAGUGGUAGAGUGCAUGCCUAGCAUGCAAGAGGUCCAGGGUUCAAUCCUCAGUACUUCCA
rnacentral:tRNA from 1 species